GAUUUGUUCCUAACUGGUUGGUUAUUCCUUCAGACCCUUUGCAUCUCAGUAUCUACUUCCCAAACCCAUAGGAACAUGGGCAGCAGGUGAAGUCUCCAUCACUGGAGAAAAUUCCAUUGCCCCUUCAUCUAUCAAUAAACAUGCAGGCUGGCUCCAUUUCCAGGAUGUUGUGAAUGGUGCAGCAGUGACUAUGGAAGAUGUUUGAGGUCAUAUUAUAAGAAUUCUGAGAUGAUGAGCCUUAAUUGGAAGAGACACAAAAGGUCUGUGAAAAAUUUAAAUUCUAAUUGAAGGAUAAUUCAGAAGAAUUGUCAUUUAGUAUAAUUUAUUAGUAAAAAUGAGAAUGUACACUGAUUA